rnacentral:rRNA from 1 species
GUGGAAGGGCCAUCGCUCAACGGAUAAAAGCUACCCUGGGGAUAACAGGCUUAUCUCCCCCAAGAGUCCACAUCGACGGGGAGGUUUGGCACCUCGAUGUCGGCUCAUCCCAUCCUGGGGCUGUAGUAGGUCCCAAGGGUUGGGCUGUUCGCCCAUUAAAGUGGUACGCGAGCUGGGUUCAGAACGUCGUGAGACAGUUCGGUCCCUAU